rnacentral:sRNA from 1 species
UACGUGUAGCAGAGGUAGUUUGUGAGCUCUUGGAAAGAACCAGCCAAGAAGUCGUUCUCGUCCCACAGAACAUGAUAAUACCUGGGCCGCUUACUCAACCUGCGUGCUGCGGUGGCUACACAAGUAGAAAUCAAACUGAUUUGGUUGGCAAAUAUUUGAAUCAACCACAGUACCUGAACCCGUAUGUUUGCAGUUGAAUCAUGAGUAUUCGCAUUAUAGUAGUCAGCAAACAGACGUGUAUGGCGACACUUCUGGAGCACCACGUAUGUAACUAAUGGAUUAUAAUCGGGUCCCAUAGAUGCACACGCCUGUUUUUAUGGCACAAAUUUAUCAUUUCAAAGAAAUAGAAUGCAGUGCUCAUCACAAAAAUAUUAAUACCUGUAAAAUAUAAUCCUUCCGGGCUUCCGUUUAGUGGCUCGAUAGAAAGACAUGAGAUGCUCUCUG